rnacentral:rRNA from 1 species
UACGAAGGGGGCUAGCGUUGCUCGAAAUCACUGGCGUAAAGCGCACGUAGGCGGAUCUUUAAGUCAGAGGUGAAAUCCCAAGGCUCAACCUUGGAAACUGCCUUUGAUACUGGGGAUCUCGAGUCCGGAAGAGGUGAGUGGAACUGCGAGUGUAGAGGUGAAAUUCGUAGAUAUUCGCAAGAACACCAGUGGCGAAGGCGGCUCACUGGUCCGGUACUGACGCUGAGGUGCGAAAGCGUGGGGAGCAAACAGG